AUUGAACGCUGGCGGCAUGCUUUACACAUGCAAGUCGAACGGCAGCGCGGGCUUCGGCCUGGCGGCGAGUGGCGAACGGGUGAGUAAUACAUCGGAACGUGCCCAGUAGUGGGGGAUAGCUCGGCGAAAGCCGGAUUAAUACCGCAUACGACCUGAGGGUGAAAGCGGGGGAUCUUCGGACCUCGCGCUAUUGGAGCGGCCGAUGGCAGAUUAGCUAGUUGGUGGGGUAAAGGCCUACCAAGGCGACGAUCUGUAGCUGGUCUGAGAGGACGACCAGCCACACUGGGACUGAGACACGGCCCAGACUCCUACGGGAGGCAGCAGUGGGGAAUUUUGGACAAUGGGCGAAAGCCUGAUCCAGCAAUGCCGCGUGUGUGAUGAAGGCCUUCGGGUUGUAAAGCACUUUUGGCGGGAACGAAAAGGACUGUGCCAAUACCACGGUUCGAUGACGGUACCCGCAGAAUAAGCACCGGCUAACUACGCG
rnacentral:rRNA from 1 species